GCCUGGGUGGCUCAGUCGGUUGAGCAUCCGACUUCGGCUCAGGUCAUGAUAUCGCAGUUUGUGGGUUCAAGCCCCGCGUCGGGCU
rnacentral:tRNA from 1 species